rnacentral:rRNA from 1 species
AUGGAUAGAGAAGAUGAGAUGGAGAUGGAGAUGGGAGCAGAGGCAGUAGCGCAGGUGAUGGCGCCGCCGUCUCGGUUCAGGAGGGUAUGCGUCUUCUGCGGGAGCAGCAAGGGCAACAAGAUGAGCUACCAGGAUGCCGCCGUUGAGCUUGGCCAGGAGCUGGUAGCAAGGAACAUUGAUCUGGUGUACGGAGGAGGAAGCGUGGGGCUCAUGGGCCUGGUCUCUCAAGCGGUCUACAGCGGAGGAAGGCAUGUCAUCGGGGUGAUUCCCAAGACUCUCAUGCCUAGAGAGAUAACAGGUGAGACGGUGGGGGAGGUGAAGGAGGUGGCGGGUAUGCACCAAAGGAAGGCUGAGAUGGCCAGGCAAUCUGAUGCCUUUAUAGCGCUCCCUGGGGGCUAUGGAACACUUGAGGAGCUCCUGGAAGUAAUCACAUGGGCCCAGCUUGGCAUCCACGACAAGCCGGUCGGGCUGCUGAACGUGGACGGCUACUACAACGCCCUGCUGUGUUUCAUCGACAAUGCCGUGGAUGAAGGAUUCAUCAAGCCCACUGCGCGCCACAUCAUCGUGCUGGCUCCCACGCCCAAGGAACUGCUCGACAAGCUGGAGGAGUACUCUCCUCGGCACGAAGAGGUCGUGCCCAGGACGAAGUGGGAGACGACGGAGCAGCUGAGCUGCUGCAAGAUCCCUGCGCUGAAAGAGGGCACGGUGAUCGUCCCGGCGCAGCGAGGAAGCAUGCUGUGA